rnacentral:lncRNA from 1 species
UGUGUGUAUAAAAAUUUUCGUUUAGGAAUACCAAGAAAUGUCUUUAAUAUCAAUAAAAUAAUCUAACACUUGGUAUAUAUGGGAUGAACAUAAUGUUUGUUUAAGACCUAUUCAUUACAUUUUUUUGUAUGUUCACGUACUUGAUCUUGUAUUUAGUUUUUAGAGAAUAAAGUAUCUAUCUAUCUAUCUUCAUGUUAAUUACACAUGUUACACUUAAAAUAC